GCACACUUAGCUCAAAUAUGGUUAGAGCAUCACUCAUGUAAAGUUGAGGUUGUGGGUUCAAGUCCCACAGUGUACA
rnacentral:tRNA from 1 species